GACGAACGCUGGCGGCGUGCCUAAUACAUGCAAGUAGAACGCUGAAGAGAGGAGCUUGCUCUUCUUGGAUGAGUUGCGAACGGGUGAGUAACGCGUAGGUAACCUGCCUUGUAGCGGGGGAUAACUAUUGGAAACGAUAGCUAAUACCGCAUAACAAUGGAUGACACAUGUCAUUUAUUUGAAAGGGGCAAUUGCUCCACUACAAGAUGGACCUGCGUUGUAUUAGCUAGUAGGUGAGGUAAUGGCUCACCUAGGCGACGGUACAUAGCCGACCUGAGAGGGUGAUCGGCCACACUGGGACUGAGACACGGCCCAGACGCCUACGGGAGGCAGCAGGAGGGAAUCUUCGGCAAUGGGGGCAACCCUGACCGAGCAACGCCGCGGGAGUGAAGAAGGUUUUCGGAUCGUAAAGCUCUGUUGUAAGUCAAGAACGGGUGUGAGAGUGGAAAGUUCACACUGUGACGGUAGCUUACCAGAAAGGGACGGCUAACUACGUG
rnacentral:rRNA from 1 species